GCCUGAGUGGCUUAGUUGGUUAAGCAUCCGACUUCGGCUCAGGUCAUGAUCUCGCGGUCUGUGAGUUCGAGCCCCGCGUCAGGCU
rnacentral:tRNA from 1 species